rnacentral:lncRNA from 1 species
CCUGUGAAGCCAUCUGGUCCUGGGCUUUUAUUUGCAGGGAGGAGUGAUUUUAUGACCUCUUCAAUUUCAUUUCUAGUGAUCGGUCUGUUCAGUUGGUCUGUUUCUGCUUGAUUCAGUUUUGGCAGGCUGUAAGAUUCUAGAAAAUUGUCCAUUUCUUCCAGAUUGUCAAACUUGUUGCCAUAUAGUUGUUCAUAGUAUUCUCUUAUGGUUUUUUGUAUUUCUGCUGUAUCCGUUGUGAUUUCUCCUUUUUCAUUUAUAAUUUUGGUUAUUUGGGUUCUUUCUCUCCUCUUUUUAGUGAGUCUGGCCAGGGGUUUGUCAAUUUUGUUCACCUUUUCAAAGAACCAGCUCUUGGUUUUAUUAAUUUUCUCUAUUGUUUUUUGAGUCUCUAUUUUAUUGAUUUCUUCUUUGAUCUUUAUAAUUUCCUUCCUUCUGCUGACUUUAGGACUUUUUUGUUCUUCUUUUUCUAAUUCGUUUAGGUGGAGGGUUAAGUUGUCAAUUUGGGAUCUUUCUUCUUUUUUGAGAAAGGCCUGGAUUGCUAUAAAUUUCCCUCUGAGCACUGCUUUCGCAGCAUCCCAUAGAUUUUGAGAGGUUGUGUCUUCAUUAUCAUUUGUUUCAAGGUAGUUUUUAAUUUCCUUCUUGAUUUCCUCAUUGACCCAUUGGUUUUUUAGUAGCAUGUUGUUUAGUCUCCAUGUAGUAGGUUUUUUCUCUUUGCUUUUCCCAUGGUUGAUUUCUAAUUUCAUGGCAUUGUGGUCAGAGAAGAUACUUGAGAUAAUUUCUAUGCUCCUAAAUUUAUUGAGAUUCGCUUUGUGUCCCAAUAUGUGGUCGAUUCUUGAGAAUGUUCCAUGAGCAUUUGAGAAGAAUGUGUAUUCUGCUUUUUUUGGAUGUAGUGUCCUGAAGAUAUCAAUUAAGUCUAACUUUUCUAUUGUUUCCUUUAGGAUCUCUGUUGCUUUAUUGGUUUUCUGUCUAGAGGAUCUGUCCAUUGAUGUGAGGGGGGUAUUUAGGUCUCCUACUAUGAUUGUAUUCUCAUCAAUAUCUCCCUUUAUGUCUGUUAAUAUUUGUUGUAUGUAUCUGGGUGCUCCUAUAUUUGGGGCAUAUAUGUUGAUGAUAGUAACAUCCUCUCCUUGGAUGGAUCCCUUAAUCAUUAAAUAGUGUCCUUCUUUGUCUUUCUUUAUGUCUUUUGUUUUAAAGUCUAUUUUGUCUGAUAUGAGCGUUGCGACUCCUGCUUUUCUGUCAUGUCUAUUGGCAUGAAAUAUUUUUCCCCACCCUUUCACUUUCAAUCUAUAUGUAUCUUUUGUCCUAAGGUGAGUUUCUUGUAGGCAGCAUAUUGAAGGUUUUUGCCUUUUUAUCCACUCAGCCACUCUGUGUCUUUUGAUUGGGGCAUUCAGUCCAUUGACAUUUAAGGUGAUAAUUGAUAGAUGAUUAUUUAUUGCCAUUUGAACCUCGUGUUCCAGUUGAUUCUAUGGUUCUCCAUUCUUCCUUUCUUUUUUUUUUUUUUUUUUUUUUGGUUGGAUGGUCUCCUGUUAUUAUCUGCUUGAGUGUAUUUUUUUUUUCAUUUUUUGCAAAUGCAAUAUUUGGUUUUGGCUUGUGGUUGCCCUGUUUUUUAAGUAUGCUAACCCCUUCCCAUAAUUGUGUGUUUUAGCCUGAUGGUCCUGUAAGUUCAAACACUUCAUUAC